rnacentral:rRNA from 1 species
GUGUCAGCCGCCGCGGUAAUACGAAGGGUGCAAGCGUUACUCGGAAUUACUGGGCGUAAAGCGUGCGUAGGUGGUCGUUUAAGUCCGUUGUGAAAGCCCUGGGCUCAACCUGGGAACUGCAGUGGAUACUGGGCGACUAGAGUGUGGUAGAGGGUAGCGGAAUUCCUGGUGUAGCAGUGAAAUGCGUAGAGAUCAGGAGGAACAUCCAUGGCGAAGGCAGCUACCUGGACCAACACUGACACUGAGGCACGAAAGCGUGGGGAGCAAACAGGAUUAGAAACCCUGGUAGUCC